GGGGCAGGGAGCCGCAAGUCCUGGGCAGGCCAGGAGCACCCAUGAUGCCCAGCUUCAUAGCUGGGUUCCAUCUGCUGGUGGAGCCGGCUGCUUCUGAAAUCAGAGCUGGUCUUCCUCAGAGGCUGGGCCAGACACUCUCAGCCCUGGUCUUCACUGCCGCUCCUUUCCUGACCUGGGGGCCUAGAGUCCCGUGAAAGGGAAUUCCGUCCCACACAGCCACAAGCAGGGGUCCAGGUCUGGGAGCAACAUGGGGGAAGGCCUGAGAGGAGGGGUCAGCUGAGAGCCACCCCACCCACCGCAGCCCACCGCAG